UGGAGGAAAGUAGGGGAUCGUAAGACCUUGCGCUUUUGGAGUGGCCGAUGCCUGAUUAGCUAGUUGGUGGGGUAAGGGCCUACCAAGGCAACGAUCAGUAGUUGGUCUGAGAGGACGACCAGCCACACUGGGACUGAGACACGGCCCAGACUCCUACGGGAGGCAGCAGUGGGGAAUUUUGGACAAUGGGCGAAAGCCUGAUCCAGCAAUGCCGCGUGAGUGAAGAAGGCCUUCGGGUUGUAAAGCUCUUUCAGUCGAGAAGAAAAGGUUGUGACUAAUAAUCACAACUUAUGACGGUACCGACAGAAGAAGCACCGGCUAACUACGUGCCAGCAGCCGCGGUAAUACGUAGGGUGCGAGCGUUAAUCGGAAUUACUGGGCGUAAAGGGUGCGCAGGCGGCUUUGUAAGUCAGAUGUGA
rnacentral:rRNA from 1 species